AGCAGGAUCAGAGGACAGAGGACGGAGGACGGAGCAGAGACAUGAUCAGAGAGAGACAUGUGAGCGGGACAUGCUGGAGGAGCAGGGCAACAGAACACUACAGAAUCAUACCUGAUUUGACCUGAUUUGAAUGAAGGCUGGUGACUACAACAGAACCAGGACCCCCACUGAAGUCUGGACUGAUGUGAAUCACAGGGCUGACCACAUGAUUUCCCCCUUUGGAUAACAUCACAGGAGGGCAUGGUGGAGGGGGGGUCGUUUUCCGGGUGCUUUUCUAGUCUUUCUAGUUUUUCCAAAACAAGAUCUUUGCCAUUAGAGAAACCAACUGUUUCCAGACUGCUGCCUCUCUUGGUCUGGUCACUCCCAAUCCUUGUACCAGUGUCUGAUUGCUCAGUGACGCUGGACAGGUUUGGGGGGGGCUGUGCUAAGGACUGCUGUACUCCAUUAUCUCCUGCUGACUUGUUUUCAUUCUCCUUUCAUUGGUUUUUGGACUUUUGUGAUUACUUAUGUGCAUCUCAAUUAAAACGUAGAAACCUUUGAACUUCCUGUACUUUCUUUUUGCUCUACCACUCACAUGUGUUUUGUCUGUAUGUGCAUUUCGUGACUAGUGCAAGUGCAAUGCUAAUAUGAGGACUGUUAUCACAAACAGAUUUAAUGUAAAUAGUUUGGAAUAUAUUUAAAUGUAAACCAAUUAAGCCUCUAAGACGUUCAUUUUAAAAUGCGAUGAUUUCCCUGGGUCACACUGUCAGAACUGUUAAAGCUCAGUUUUCAAGGUUUAUGUUAUGUACUGUCCAAAACAUUUUAAUGUAUGAAAACAGAUACUUUAAGUACAUCUUAAAUUACAUUUACUAAUAAAAACAAGCAAGCCCAUUUUCAGGA